rnacentral:rRNA from 1 species
CAGCAGCCGCGGUAAUACGUAGGUGGCAAGCGUUGUCCGGAAUUAUUGGGCGUAAAGGGCUCGCAGGCGGUUUCUUAAGUCUGAUGUGAAAGCCCCCGGCUCAACCGGGGAGGGUCAUUGGAAACUGGGAAACUUGAGUGCAGAAGAGGAGAGUGGAAUUCCACGUGGAGCGGUGAAAUGCGUUGAGAUCGGAAAGAACACCAACGGCGAAAGCACUCUGCUGGGCCGACGUUGACACUGAGAGACAAACGCUAGGGGAGAAAAUGGGAUUAGAUACCCCGGUAGUCCCUGUCUCUUAUAA